UGCCCUUUGCGCUGUUUCCUCCCGGCACAGCCCGCACGGCGCGGCCCCGCAGCGCCGAGGCCUCGAAAGCGACUUGCCCGGGGGCUGCCGGGGUCACUGGGGCGGUCGGGAGCGACAGGAGCCUGGGCCGAGUCACUUGGGCUCAUGCUGGCUGGGGUCGUGUUUUGGGGUCUUCAUGAGCCAGAAAAUGUCUGCAGAGCCCCUGACUAUUUUUUGGAGGUCUAAAGACUCCUUUGGGCAUUAUAAACGGAAGCGGGAGGAGACUGGAAGGAGCCAGAGCAUCUGUGGGAUUUCUUUAGUCUUCAGUAAAGAUCUUCAGUGAGUUACCUACCAUGGGAGUCGGGAUAUCAGCAGCUUCCAAAGUCAUAAAGUGGAAAAUUGGGCUUUCUCCAAAACCUCCUGUUGGCAGCAUUGAUUCCUCAAUGAUAAAUGUGGUUACUAGCUGAAUUUUCAGAAAGAAGUAAAGUGACUGUUGGGUCAUCAGACUGCAUGUCAGUAUCAGCCACAGGGAGAUGGAAUAAUGCUCCUUACUGUUGGAAGGAAGACUCACCUCCAUGCAGGUAUUCCUGUUUCUUGUGUAGGCAAGACAUCACUAAUUUGCAAGUCUGGCUUUGUGUGAUUUCUGUUAGAUUGGGUGAGAUGGACAGUUACCCUGAAGGAAAAAGCUCAUCUUGGAGACAUGAACAUCUAUGCAGUCUUAAUAAAUACAUUCUUAGAGCAUAUAGAUCUAUACCAAAAAUAGAGACACAUCUUAAACAAUAUAAAUGUUGUGCAGUGUUUUAUAAUCUAGAAUUGAUUGGUUGA
rnacentral:lncRNA from 1 species